rnacentral:rRNA from 1 species
AAUAUUGCGCAAUGGGGGAAACCCUGACGCAGCGCCGCCGCGUGAACGUGGAAGGCCUUCGGGUCGUAAAGUUCUGUCCUCAGGGAAGAAUAACUGACGGUACCUGAGUAGGAAUCCCCGGCUAACUACGUGCCAGCAGCCGCGGUAAUACGGAGGGUGCAAGCGUUAUCCGGAUUUACUGGGUUUAAAGGGUACGUAGGCGGACUAUUAAGUCAGGGGUGAAAUCUCCGAGCUCAACUCGGAAACUGCCUUUGAAACUAGUGGUCUUGAAUUAUGUUGAGGUUGGCGGAAUAUAACAUGUAGCGGUGAAAUGCAUAGAUAUGUUAUAGAACACCGAUUGCGAAGGCAGCUGACUAAACAUAUAUUGACGCUGAUGUACGAAAGCGUGGGGAUCAAAC